rnacentral:lncRNA from 1 species
GUUAGAUGGGAAUGCGGCAAAACCAGUUAGGAAGCCACUGCGGUGACCCUGCGCUGAGAUGUCAAGUCCAAGUCCAAGAUGGUUGCAGGGGCAUGGAGAGGAAGAACUACAUCUAAAAGGUAUUUCAAAAGAAAUAAACACAGAUUUAACGAGUUCCUACUAUCUGCUAGGCUGUGCUAACACCACCGAGGCGGGCGUGGAAUCACCCCCAUUUCGCCCACUUGCAGAGUGAGAUUUGGCCAGAUUGACUCUCUGGGGGUCACACGCGGCGAGCGGCAGCGUUGAGCUUCCAACGUGGGGCGUCGGGCUCUCCAGACCCGGGGCUGCCCCAGGCCUCCACUGUCGCCUCUGAGACCAGCCCCCGCUGUGCCCUGCGGGGUGAGGAAGAGCUUCCAGUGCCAAGACCUCAACUCCUCAAUUUGCAGAGAAGGGCCUUGCAGGGCCUAAGCGCGGAGAUCAGGGACCCUUAUCAAGCCGUCAGUCCCUUUCAGGAUCUUGGAGACCCGCACGUCGGGCGGAAGCAGGCGCGUCGCGGCGGCUGCAGCUCCCGGCCCCGGGCGCGAGCGGCUGAGUCACGGCGGGGCCGGGCCGCGGGCGGCUCCAGCGUGGUGAGCCCGGAGGCUGCGCCGGGCCCUGCAGCGCAGCCGGGAGCCGCGCCGACCGAGACCGGAUGAGCCGAGUCAGCGCGGCCCCGCCGCCCCGCGGAGACGAGAUCGGCCGCGGGUUCUCGCUGAUCCCGCCGGGGAGCUGGAAUCGGAGACUGAAAUUUGAAAGCUUGAGUGGCCCCAAGCAACAGAUGCUAUAUGCAGGUUUCAGUGGAGGCUGCUCACCUUGUGCGGAGACACGUAGGUCUCAAGACUGGCUAGACUUUGAAGAUCGAAGGGGCUUGCCCAGGACCAAAAUUGAGUUGUCUGACUCAGUCCUAAAGUGCAGGAAAUAAUAAUUAAAACACUCACACACAUUUUUUUUUAAAGAUUUUAUUUUUUUCCUUUUUCUCCCCGAAACCCCCCAGUACAUAGUUGUAUAUUCUUCAUUGUGGAUCCUUCUAGUUGUGACAUAUGGGACGCUGCCUCAGCGUGGUUUGAUGAGCCGUGCCAUGUCGGCACCCCGGAUUCAAACCAACGAAACACUGGGCCACCUGCAGCAGAGCGCGUGAACUUAACCGCUCGGCCACGGGGCCAGCCCCUCACACACUUAUUUUUUAACGCAAGAGCAAAAAUUUCAGAAUUCCAAGAGAAAAUAAACCUUGAUUUGUGAGAUAAAGUUCUAACAAGAUGGGAGCAUUGCAGAGGGAAUUUUUUAGAGGUCCUUGAUAAACUUGGUCCAGUUUCACCCUACUCCUAUACUACUGCAGCCAGAACCCAUUUUUGUAUAAUAGUGCUGUAUUGUUUGUGUUCAAGUUGCUUUUUCAGUCAAAAACCAAUACUAUAGAAAUUUAUGGGGAAAAAUCAUACCUAAUCACAGUUGCUUUUGCUUCUCUCCUUACAUUAAUGUUCACAAGAAGAGGUUUUCACAUAGCUGCAUCAGAGCUAUCAUUUUUCUAUUUUACUGUUUUCAGGGAAUGUUAUAUAAACAUUUGCCCAUGUCUCAGAUCUUCAGGAUCAUUAUUUUAAAUAACUCCAUUAUGCUCGCCACUAAACACUAAAUUAUCCUCCUGUUGGUGUGCUUGAAGGUUGUUUUUUGACGGGAGUUGCUCUUUACCAGUUUCUUUCUUUUAAGAUUUUAUUUUUCCUUCUUCUCCCCAAAGCUCCCUAAUACAUAGUUGUAUACUCUUAAUUGUAGGUCCUUCUAGCUGUGGCGUGUGGGAUGCCAGCCCAGCAUGGCCCAACGAUGGUGCCAUGUCCACGCCCAGGACCCGAACCUGCGAAACCCUGGGCCACCACAGCGGAGUGCAGGAACCCAACCACAAGGCCACAGGGCUGGCCAGGACCUGUUUCUGAUUGUCAGUGUUUUUGUCCUCCAUCAGGAAGCAUUGACACUGGGCAAAAUGGUGGAACCUUAUGAGGAAAAGUGGCUGCCAAUCAUUGCAUUACAGGAAAGUUUAUUUUCUUUUUAAGAGCUGACAUCAUUUUCCCAAGUAUUCUUUUGAUAUUUUAUCCCACUUGCAUAAUCAUCGCCUUUCUUUAAUUCUAUAAGGUAUACAUUUAAAAAGACCAGACCUUUCCAGGAGUCUGACAGAAAUGGGAUUCAGAAUUGUGUCUGAGACAUUUUCAGAUUUUCAUCAAGAGUUUGUGUUCAAGUGCCACUGUUUACUGUCUUCUGUGUGACUUGGAACAAGUUAUUUAACCUAUCUUGGUCUCAGUUUUCUCAUCUGAAAAAUGAGGAUAAGAAUAGCACAUGCUUAUAAAUUGUUGUGAGAAUUGAAUGAGAUUGUAGGGGAGGAAGACAAUUCCUCUACCCAUUCUAGGUCCUCCUGGCUGGUCUAUGAAUUAAAUUGACACGAGACAGAAUAACAGGAGAAAAUCAAACAAAGCUUUAUAACAUGUAUACAUGGGAGAAACGCCAGAAUGACUGAGUUUCCAUCUUAAAUACAAUCUUCAGCUAAAGACAAAGGACGGUGUUGGGGGUAGUGGUUUGGGGCUUCAAAGGGGAGGAAGGCAAUUCACAUGGAGAUGGAAAAGCAAAUGUUUGGUAGAUGAGAAUGGGCUUAAUAAAGACCCUCACAGUCUACCAAUAUCCAGAGUUACCUAUGGUGAUAACCUGUCCUGGGGACAGGCCUUUUGUCUUAAAUUCUUUAGGCAGUUAGGGGGAAGAUCAAAGUUUCUUUUGUUCUUAGAAAAUAAUCAAGGCAAAGACACAUUUUGGGGUGGCCAAUUCUGAUGUCCUACAAGAGCAUAUUUGUAAAAUGAGUGCUUAGAAUGAUGCCUAUGGAUAAUUCUCUAUAAAUAUUUACCUAUAAAUAAAUAUUAUUGUCUUUUUGUUAUUAAAGAGAACAGUGGCUCUGUACUGAAUAAUGAUAGGCACACCUGCCAUUGUCACCAAGGCUGAAGUGGUAGAUGUGUUUCCUUGCAAACUCUCCCCAUCAUUUGAAAAUCAACUCAAUGUGACCCUGAUUAAGCAGACAAAACAUUCACCACGAUGAGUCCACGUUAUCCAUAUCUCAGGCCACUUAUCUCUCCACAUGGAGUGAAGGAACAAAUGUACUGUUCUCAGCUCUACCUACUGGGAGAAUUUCCCUUCACCGUGGUGCAGCAUAGUUCAUUUGUUAUUAGUACCAACAUAUUAGCUGAUCCUUCUGUGAACCAGGCCGAAGUUUCCUGCCC